rnacentral:rRNA from 1 species
UGGAUCUGAUUUAACUUAGUGGCGGACGGGUGAGUAAUGCGUGAGCAACCUGCCCUUCAGAGGGGGACAACAGUUGGAAACGACUGCUAAUACCGCAUAAUGUAUUCUGACCGCAUGAUCGGAAUACCAAAGAUUUAUUGCUGAAAGAUGGCCUCGCGUCUGAUUAGCUAGUUGGUGAGGUAACGGCCCACCAAGGCGACGAUCAGUAGCCGGACUGAGAGGUUGAACGGCCACAUUGGGACUGAGAUACGGCCCAGACUCC